GAGUUUGAUCAUGGCUCAGGGUGAACGUUGGCGGUGUGUUUAAUACAGCAAGUCGAGUGAGACCAUUAUUUUUUCUUCGGAAUAGAUAAUGUGAAAGCGGCGGACUGGUGAGUAACACGUUGGAACCUGCCUCAAACUCAGGAAUAACCACGAGAAAUCGUGGCUAAUACCGGAUAGUCCCGCAAGGGUAAAGCUCCGGCGGUUUGAGAGGGGCCUGCGGCUUAUCAGCUUGUUGGUGGGGUAAUGGCCUACCAAGGCUAUGACGAGUAGCUGAUCUGAGAGGAUGAUCAGCCACAAUGGGACUGAGAUACGGCCCAUACUCCUACGGGAGGCAGCAGUAAAGAAUCUUCCACAAUGGACGAAAGUCUGAUGGAGCAACACCGCGUGCAGGAUGACGGCCUUCGGGUUGUAAACUGCUUUUCUGAGGGAAGAAUUAUGACGGUACCUUAGGAAUAAGCACCGGCUAACUACGUGCCAGCAGCCGCGGUAACAC
rnacentral:rRNA from 1 species